GGCUCUGUAGUAUACCCAGAGAGCCACCUAUAAGCUUGUUCCAGAUGCACUGCCAGUACCCACUGUGGACCCUGUAUACCCCUUCCAGCCUGGAGACUCUGUGUGGGUAAAGAAGUUCACUCCCCAAGGACUCACCCCAACCUGAAAGGGACGCUACACUGUUACCCUGAGCACGCCCACGGCUGUUGAAGUAGACGACACCCAGACCUGGCUACACCACUCCCAGCUCCUGCACAGAAAACGGCCUGAAUCCUGGCAACCAGCGGCCUCACCAGUGAGAUCCCCAGCCUAGGUUCCACACAGGCCAGGAGGAGACUUGAUGCCUACAGGAGGGGAAUUGGACUUCAUGGGAAUUUUGGCAU